rnacentral:rRNA from 1 species
GAAUUUUGGACAAUGGGCGAAAGCCUGCUCCAGCAAUGCCGCGUGCAGGAAGAAGGCCUUCGGGUUGUAAACUGCUUUUGUAGGGAACGAAAAGCUUUGGGUUAAUACCCUGGAGUCCUGACGGUACCGUAAGAAUAAGCACCGGCUAACUACGGGCCAGCAGCCGCGGUAAUAAGGAGGGCGCAAGCGUUACUCGGAAUUACUGGGCGUAAAGCGUGCGCAGGCGGUUUUUCAAGACAGAUGUGAAAUCCCCGGGCUCAACCUGGGAACUGCCUUUGUGACUGCAAGGCUAGAGUACGGCAGAGGGGGGUGGAAUUCCGCGUGUAGCAGUGAAAUGCGUAGAUAUGCGGAGGAACACCGAUGGCGAAGGCAACCCCCUGGGCCUGUACUGACGCUCAUGCACGAAAGCGUGGGGAGCAAACA